rnacentral:rRNA from 1 species
GACGAACGCUGGCGGCGUGCUUAACACAUGCAAGUCGAACGGAAAGGCCCUGCUUUUGUGGGGUGCUCGAGUGGCGAACGGGUGAGUAACACGUGAGUAACCUGCCCUUGACUUUGGGAUAACUUCAGGAAACUGGGGCUAAUACCGGAUAGGAGCUCCUGCUGCAUGGUGGGGGUUGGAAAGUUUCGGCGGGUGGGGAUGGACUCGCGGCUUAUCAGCUUGUUGGUGGGGUAGUGGCUUACCAAGGCUUUGACGGGUAGCCGGCCUGAGAGGGUGACCGGCCACGUUGGGACUGAGAUACGGCCCAGACUCCUACGGGAGGCAGCAGUGGGGAAUAUUGCACAAUGGGCGGAAGCCUGAUGCAGCAACGCCGCGUGCGGGAUGACGGCCUUCGGGUUGUAAACCGCUUUCGCCUGUGACGAAGCGUGAGUGACGGUAAUGGGUAAAGAAGCACCGGCUAACUACGUG